AAAUCGUACUGCGGGGGUUGAAGAUGAAGAACAAACCCCAGCCCACCGUCACCGAACAACGACUCUUCACUACACACACGCAGAGAAAGCCGCGACACCAUGGCCCAUGUUCCCUAAUUUUGAUCCCUUUCUUUAGCCUACCGCUACCACCAACAAGCACAGACUAUUCGCUCGUCAAAACCCGUAGCCCCGUCGCCGGCAACUGAUGUCAAAGAUUGAUUGCUUUAUCCCUACUGCCUCUUCGCCGGUUCAUUCUUUUAGUUUUGGUUUUUCCUUGGAGACCGCGUAGUGUUGAAGGCUUGAAGCAGCUAUCUUGAUGGUUGAUGGAGAUCAAGAAGAUUGGAUUUACUCUACAAAUUGAUCCAGAUUGGAUUUUACUUUGGGAGUAGGUUUUACUCUAGUGAUGAGUUCAGAUUGGAUUCCAAAUGUCUGAUUGAUCCUAAGCAUCUCUUUGUUGGGCCAAGAAUUGGAGAAGGAGCUCAUGACGCCAAAGUGUAUGAGGGCAAAUACAAAAACCAGACUCUUGCAAUUAAAGUUCUUCAUAAAGGAGAAAGUCCAGAAGAGAUCACCAAGAGACAAGGGCGGUUUGCUAGAGAGGUUGAAGCUAAUAUGCAUGAAUUUGUAGGUCUUACUAGCUUGGCUAUCUGGGCUUCACUUGGAAUGAAUGAUACUUCAUGAUUGCUACUACUAGGAAGUACCGGCGGUGCUGCUCAAAACUAGUGGAUGUUCUUCUACAUAGAGCAUGAGGAGACCAAGCUACAGCAGGAGGGUUCUAAAGAUACUAAUGCUGCUAUGCUUAGAUGUUCUUUAUGCUUUUGGCCUUUAUGUUUAAGUGUGUGUAUAUAUAGGCAUGGUUAAUUAGUAUGUGUUAA